GGACUACCAGGGUUUCUAAUCCCGUUCGCUCCCCUGGCCUUCGUGUUUCAGCGUCAGGUUCUGCCCAGGGUCUUGCUUUCGCUAUAAGUGUUCCUCUCGAUCUCUACGCAUUUCACUGCUACACCGAGAAUUCCAGACCCCUCUACAGACCUCCAGCAUGGCAGUAUCGGGUGCUAUUCGGGGGUUGAGCCCCCGGAUUUCACACCUGACUUUCCACGCCGCCUACACACCCUUUACGCCCAGUGAUUCCGAACAACGCUUGAGACCUCUGUAUUACCGCGGCUGCUGGCAC
rnacentral:rRNA from 1 species